CGCCAACCACGACGAACGUGUCAAACUAAACCAGAGUAUUUUAGUGGGUAUGGUCGACCGGUGGUUGGGUCAACGCCAUUUUCCACACGCACAUCCACAGCUCACAUGACAGCGAUGUAUACCAAAUGCCGGCACGUGCAGUGGACGCGUGAGGAAGAUAAGGUGCGGGAAACAGGACCACCAAUAAUUGAGGUUAAAUUAAAGGAGGGGCGGGUGUUCCGAGUCCUCACUCAAGAUCCUUCUUGCGUGGAUGUCACGCAAAGGGAGCGGCGGUCGCCAUCGCGGGAUGGACGGUCGAUGCCCCCAACCCGUUCGUCAUAAUGUCUGGUUUGUCUGUGUGCAGACUAAACCGUGGUAACGUGGUUGCCCGCACGCUUCAACAGAAUCGUGCGACGCAUGACGACGGAGACCGCCAGAAUACGGCAAGCUGGUUUGAAAAUUAUAUUAUCUCAAAAACCAUUAAUGGUGUACGUAUAUUUAAUUGCAUUAGCAAUUCAAACAAGCCAUCUCGACUUGGUCUGACCUGAGCUCGACCCAAAUGCGAAGGGAUGGAACAAGCCAUCUCAACUUGGUCUGACCAGAGCUCGACCCAAAUGCGAAGGGACGGACUUUGGCGGUCCCGCCAAAUCGACACGACAGGAGUCGCGACUGUCCGCGGGCACUCGAGGGGAGAAGAAAUGGCCGCCUCCGCCAAAACCCUAGCGGAGCUCCUCCACCCCGCCAAGCGCCUCCGUCCCCUCUCCCCCUCGACCAAAAUCCAGAUCUCCAAGUCCUCCUCUGCCCGGACUCCCGAGCAGAAGAAGACGACCGAGACCAACAAAGCCCUGGCGCGAUCGAAGCGGGACCUCCGGAUCUGCACCGACAUAAUCGAGAAAUCGAGAGAUUCAGCCGAAGGGAUGGAGCAUGCGAAGCUGGAGGAGCUUUUGGUGGAGGAGACGUGGUUGGAGGCUCUCGAGGGGGAGCUCCAGAAACCGUACGCGAAGAACCUGUGCAGGUUCGUGGAGAGGGAGAUGCGUGGGAGCGUCCCGAUCUACCCUCCGCCGCACCUUAUAUUCGAUGCUCUCCACCGGACGCCUUUCCAUCAAGUGAAGGCAGUGAUCAUCGGGCAGGAUCCUUAUCAUGGACCUGGUCAAGCCAUGGGUCUUGCUUUCUCGGUGCCGGAGGGUAUCAAGGUUCCUUCCAGUUUAGUCAACAUAUUUAAGGAACUCAGGGAGGAUGUUGGGUGUUCUUUGCCAUCGCAUGGAAAUUUAGAGAGAUGGGCUGUGCAGGGGGUUCUUCUGCUGAAUGCUGUCCUCACCGUUAGGAAACAUCAGGCUAAUUCACAUGCUAAAAAAGGAUGGGAGCCGUUUACUGAUGCUAUUAUUCAAACAAUUUCACAGAAGAAAACAGGAGUUGUUUUCCUCCUCUGGGGGAAUUCUGCCCAAGCAAAAUCAAGAUUGAUCGACGAGUCAAAGCAUCAUAUCCUAAGAGCAGCUCAUCCAUCUGGUCUUUCAGCCAACAGAGGGUUCUUCGGAUGCAGGCAUUUCUCUCAGACGAACCAGAUACUGGAGAAACUUAACCUUUCUCCCAUAGAUUGGCAACUCUGAGCUCAGAGAAAUGCCGUAUUCUCGGGUGCAACCUCGCUACCAUCACCUGAUAUGGACUCUCUAAUCCGUGGACGGACCAUCAGGCCUGACCAAAUUUUGGUAAACAAUGGGGCAAAUGAGGAAGAACAAUUAAGCAGUGUUCAUGGAUGUAAUGCCUUCUUGCCUCUCCGCUGGAUCUCUUCCUCCUCUCAGAAAUCCCCCCCAUGAAGUUUCCAUCAUCUGGACCGGAAUCCUCAGGGAAUGAACUCCUAUGCGGCUAGUUGCCAUCAGAAAAACACAUGUUGUGAACUCUGUGAUGCAAAAGAACAAAAAAGAAACAAUUGGGUGUAGUGUUGGAGGUUUUCCACAAGUGUUUCAAAAGAGGGAUGUUCUUUAGAAGAACAGAAUUUGUCUUACCUUUUUCUUCUUCUUCUUCCCCA